UCUUUACAGUGAAAGCAGACACUUCUAUCCAGUCUUUACAGUGAGAGGAGACACUUCUUCUCCAGUCUUUACAGUGAGAACAGACACUUCUAUCCAGUCUUUACAGUGAGAGCAGACACUUCUUCUCCAGUCUUUACAGUGAGAGCAGACACUUCUUCUCCAGUCUUUACAGUGAGAGCAGACACUUCUAUCCAGUCUUUACAGUGAGAGGAUACACUUCUAUCCAGUCUUUACAGUGAGAGGAGACACUUCUAUCCAGUCUUUACAGUGAGAGGAGACACUUCUUCUCCAGUCUUUACAGUGAGAGGAGACACUUCUAUCCAGUCUUUACAGUGAGAGCAGACAUUUUUAGCAUGUGUAUAUGAUAUCUGCAGGAACUGAACCGACAACUUUGGUGUGUCUACUACCACGCUCUUGCCAACAGAGCCACACAGGACCAUAACCUUGUAAAAUAUAACAGAACUGAGUCCAAUGAGUCCAGCACUAAAAGCCAGUGUCAGUUUAUGCCAAGCUGAGCAUAAGUGCAGGACUCGGCUAUUGAUCACAGUGUCUAUGGAGAUGUACUACAGUAGCCUACUGGUGGGACAUUCAUUAGGGCACACUGUUGCAAAACGUUUUGCAUGGGAAAACAAGCGUUUCUUAUUGUCCCAGUUUCAGGUGGUCUAUCCCAGUUUCAGGUGAUCUAUUCCAGUUUCAGGUAGUCUAUCCCACUUUCAGGUAGUCUAUCCAGUUCAGGUGGUCUAUCCCCGUUUCAGGUAGUCUAUCCCAGUUUCAGGUGGUCUAUCCCAGUUUCAGGUGGUCUAUUCCAGUUUCAGGUGGUCUAUUCCAGUUCAGGUAGUCUAUCCCAGUUCAGGUGGUCUAUUCCAGUUUCAGGUAGUCUAUCCCAGUUUCAGGUGGUCUAUUCCAGUUUCAGGUGGUCUAUUCCAGUUCAGGUAGUCUAUCCCAGUUCAGGUGGUCUAUCCCAGUUCAGGUGGUCUAUCCCAGUUCAGGUAGUCUAUCCCAGUUCAGGUGGUCUAUCCCAGUUUCAGGUGGUCUAUCCCAGUUUCAGGUGGUCUAUCCCAGUUCAGGUGGUCUAUUCCAGUUCAGGUAGUAUAUCCCAGUUUCAAGUAGUCUAUCCCAGUUUCAGGUGGUCUAUCCCAGUUCAGGUAGUCUAUCCCAGUUCAGGUGGUAUAUCCCAGUUUCAGGUGGUCUAUCCCAGUUUCAGGUGGUCUAUCCCAGUUCAGGUGGUCUAUUCCAGUUCAGGUAGUCUAUCCCAGUUCAGGUAGUCUAUCCCAGUUCAGGUGGUCUAUCCCAGUUCAGGUGGUCUAUCCCAGUUCAGGUAGUCUAUCCCAGUUCAGGUGGUCUAUCCCAGUUUCAGGUGGUCUAUUCCAGU
rnacentral:lncRNA from 1 species